GCUAAGGUAGCAUAGUCAUUUGUUAUUUAAUUGGUAACUGGAAUGAAAGGUUAAACUAGCUUAUUAAGUUUGUGUAACUAAAUAGGAAAUUAAAGUUAAGGUAAGAAUUCUUUAAUCUUCUAGGGGACGAUAAGACCCUAGAAGCUUAACAAGUAGAUUUUUGGUUUUACAAGGUAGCUUGUUUUACUGGGGCGGUAAAAAUAAUUAAGCUAUUUAUUAUUUAAAAGAUCCUUUAAAUAAAGAAAAAAUGGGGGAGUUACUCUAGGGAUAA
rnacentral:rRNA from 1 species